UACGGGGGGAGCAAGCGUUGUUCGGAUUUACUGGGCGUAAAGGGCGUGCAGGCGGCUUGUUAAGUGCAGGGUGAAAGCUCCCGGCUCAACUGGGAGAGGUUCUUGCAUACUGGCGAGCUCGAGGGAGGCAGAGGAAAGUGGAAUUCCCGGUGUAGUGGUGAUAUGCGUAGAUAUCGGGAGGAACACCUGUGGCGAAGGCGGCUUUCUGGGCCUUACCUGACGCUGAGACGCGAAAGCGUGGGGAGCGAACCGG
rnacentral:rRNA from 1 species